rnacentral:rRNA from 1 species
GGCCCAGCUUGCUGGGUGCUGACGAGUGGCGGACGGGUGAGUAACGCGUAGGAAUUUACCUUAAAGUGGGGGAUAACCUGAGGAAACUCAGGCUAAUACCGCAUGUGCCCUUAGGGGUAAAGCAGGGGACCUUCGGGCCUUGUGCUUUAAGAUGAGCCUGCGUCGGAUUAGCUUGUUGGUGGGGUAAUGGCCCACCAAGGCGACGAUCCGUAGCUGGUCUGAGAGGACGAUCAGCCACACUGGGACUGAGACACGGCCCAGACUCCUACGGGAGGCAGCAGUGGGGAAUAUUGGACAAUGGGCGCAAGCCUGAUCCAGCAAUACCGCGUGUGUGAAGAAGGCCUGCGGGUUGUAAAGCACUUUCAGUAGGGAGGAAGGUCUUAGUAUUAAUACU